rnacentral:rRNA from 1 species
UACGGAGGGAGCUAGCGUUGUUCGGAAUUACUGGGCGUAAAGCGCACGUAGGCGGCUUUUUAAGUCAAGGGGUGAAAUCCCGGGGCCUCAACCCCGGAACUGCCCUUGGAAACUGGAGAGCUAGAAUCUUGGAGAGGCGAGUGGAAUUCCGAGUGUAGAGGUGAAAUUCGUAGAUAUUCGGAAGAACACCAGUGGCGAAGGCGACUCGCUGGACAAGUAUUGACGACUGAGG